UUACGGCCAUAUCACGUUGAAAUAUUAUUUCCCGUACGAUCACCGAAGUUAAGCAACGUCGAGCCUGGCCAGUACCUAGUUGGAUAACUGCUUGAGAAUACCAGAUGCUGUAAG